rnacentral:misc_RNA from 1 species
GAUGAAGAACGUAGCGAAAUGCGAUAAGCAAUGUGAAUUGCAGAAUUCAGUGAAUCAUCGAAUCUUUGAACGCACCUUGCACCCUUUGGCAUUCCGAAGGGUAUGCUCGUUUGAGUGUCAUUGUACUCUCACACUCCCAAUUGCUUUGGAUUGGGAGCGGUGGACUUGGGUGUUGCUGCUUGACUGAGGCUCACCUGAAAUAUGUUAGUGCACCUCUUGAUUGGACAUAGUACGGCGUGAUAAGUGUCUUCGCCGGCUCCUCGCAAAGAGGGUGGCCGAUCGGGAGCUCUGUUGCUUCAAACUGUCUUCGGACAAUCUUCUGGCGACUUGACCUCAAAUCGAGUAGGACUACCCGCUGAACUUAAGCAUAUCAAUAAGCGGAGGA